ACUGGAGAACAAAAUCAGUUAUUGCAAUUAAAACUUAUUAAUUAAAUCUUCUCUAACACGAGUUCGACUAAAACUUCUGUCCUUAGAAUAUCAUUCCCCUCACAUUUGACUAUUCAAUAUAAUUUUAUUGAGCUGCUUGAGUGUUAGAAUUCUCUAGAUAAAGUUAUCAAGAAGCAUUCCUAUGACGGCUGUUCGCCUGGAUAUUUUAAUCAAGGUCUUACGUACUAUUUGUCAUGGGAUGUAUAUAAUAAUCUUCAAUUAUUUGCAAGUACUUAAAAUAUAUAUUUUAAAUAUUGUUCAUGUAUUUAUUUCUAGAUAAAUAUUAUUCUUUUAAUUAAAACAAAUGACGUUUUAAUAUAGUUUUUAAGCUUUUUGGAAUGAAAACGCAAAAACCAACUGCAAAUUGGUAAUGGUUUUAUGUAUUUUUUUACGAUUCUUGUUUUUGGGUUUCAGAGGUUAGUAAAAAGGACCAUGAGAAUAUUUAACAAACUUCAAAAUAAAGAUAUCUAUUUCCUACCAUUGACCCAAGCUGUAAACUUAAGGUUUUAGAAUCUGGAUUAAAUCACAAGGUCUGUGGUUGCGUGUACCUUGUAGUGGUUCGUGGGUCUGUUCUGGCUGGACAGCACCGGAUUGGAGAUGAUUCGUCGGUUAGCGGCUACAUCGAGGGCGGCUCGUAGGAGGUCUACCUUGUUGGUUUUGGGAGAAAUCUCGAUGUUGCUGCAACGUCUCUGACUGCUGCUGCCGCUGCGACUGCGGCACAGUUCGUUGAUGUCGCCCUGAGACAGCUGCGGCACAUACGUAAAUGACAUCCCUUACUGUUGUAUUAUUUUAUUGUGUUUUUAUUUACUUUGCAUGUAAUGUUCGUACAGGCGUUGGGAUGAGGAUAAUUAUGAAAUCAAUAGAUAGCAUGAAAACUUGUUAUUGUUUUUGUUAUGAGAAAUUUUUGUUAGUAGAAAUGUAUUAGAAGUGAUUUGAAUGUAAUGAGAUCUAAGACUUCCGCGAGUAUUCAAUUAAAUGAAAAUAAUAUAUUUCAGAUUACUAUCCGUGAUCAUGCUUGCAGCAAAGUAACCGAGACGUCGGGACUCGGGAGUAUGUAGUUUUUAAAAUAAUAAAAUAUGCGUAAUAAUCCCAAAAAUAUUAGUUUCGUUUAAGUCAUUUGAGUGUAUUUAUUUUUAGUCAAUUUGUUGUAGGUUUUUCUUAUUUUAAAAAUUAAAUGUCAACAAGUCAA